UGGGGGAAUAUUGCACAAUGGGCGCAAGCCUGAUGCAGCCACGCCGCGUGUGUGAAAGAAGGCCUUCGGGUUGUAAAGCACUUUCAGCGAGGAGGAAGGUGGUGAACUUAAUACGUUCAUCAAUUGACGUUACUCGCAGAAGAAGCACCGGCUAACUCCGUGCCAGCAGCCGCGGUAAUACGGAGGGUGCAAGCGUUAAUCGGAAUUACUGGGCGUAAAGCGCACGCAGGCGGUUUGUUAAGUCAGAUGUGAAAUCCCCGGGCUCAACCUGGGAACUGCAUUUGAAACUGGCAAGCUAGAGUCUCGUAGAGGGGGGUAGAAUUCCAGGUGUAGCGGUGAAAUGCGUAGAGAUCUGGAGGAAUACCGGUGGCGAAGGCGGCCCCCUGGANGAAGACUGACGCUCAGGUGCGAAAGCGUGGGGAGCAAACAGAUUAG
rnacentral:rRNA from 1 species